GGGAAAUUGCGCUGCUACAAUGCAGUCGGACGGUAGCACAGAGAACUUGGUCUCUUGUGACAAGUGUGGGACAGGGGAGUAAUGUGUGGGGGUCUGCCCGAGAGAGGGGGAGAUCCCCUGUGAACGGUGGCUAAUACCCCAUAACGUCUCAAGAGCCCAGAGGGGGACCUUCUCGCCUCUCUCUAUCGGAUGAGCCCCCAUGGGAUUUUCUAUUAGGCGGGGUAAUGGCCCCCCUAUGCGACAAUCCCUAUCUGGUCUGAGAGAAUGACCCCCCCCACUGUGACUGAGACACGGUCCCCACACCCACGGGGGGCGCCAGUGGGGAAUAUUGUGCACUGGGCGCAAACCUGAGGCACCCCUGCCGCGUGUAUGAAAAAGGCCUUCUCGUUGUAAAGUACUUUCUCCGGGGAGGAAGGCGACGGGGUUUAUAAACCCGUCG
rnacentral:rRNA from 1 species